rnacentral:lncRNA from 1 species
AAACUCCGGCAAGGGUACGCAUGCAUGCCCGUCGAACGCCGUUCAGCUUCCCGAAUUAAUUUUAGCUAUUCCAAAAAAAAUAAGAACAAGAAGUAACCUUUUGAAAAAAUACUUACAACCUCACGUUAGGUGUGUUAAAUCUUAACAUGAUUAAAAACAAGAAAUCUGCUUAUGCUAACGAGAAAGCGUUAUCGUUGUGUGAUUUUGGUUUUGGUGGAUCAGAAUCAGACGGCGGAAGCCUGAAGUCAUACGGUGAGGAUUCGGCGGAAGAUGCGAUGAGAGUUACACGUAGUAUCAUGAUCGUGAAGCCACCUGGAUAUCAGAGUCAGAGUGGAUCGGCGCCGGCCUCACCCGCCGGUUCCACUCCUCCGGUGUCUCCGUUUUCAGGUAAGGUUGUGCUUCACACUUUUUUUAUUGUCAGUAAAAUGACGAAUUAGACCUUGGAUUUUAUUUUGGAACUGGGAUUAUCUCCUGGGAAACUGGAGUGACAGUGGGAGAGUGUGACUGAGGCGGUUGCUGUAGAAUAGGGUAAUUCCGUCUAUUCAGACGGCGUUUCUCUUUCCUAUGGUAGCGUAGCGUUAACUAGGGUUAGUCAUGAUGGCUGUUUUGUUUCCUUUCCACAUAUAUUCAACAAUGUGCUUAUCCAUAUCCAGACACGUAUUAACAAAUAAAAUAAUGAAUGUUACAGGUUUUUUUAAAGUUUAAAAAGUGAGAUAAGAAAUAAGUUGAUUGUAUAAUUGAGGGUGUAAAAAAAUGUUUGCUCAACACUAGUAAAUAUUACUAUUGAAAAUACAAUUAUCUUUUGUUGUUCAUUAUUACUCCUUGGAUUUUUUAAGAAUUUUUAUUUUUAUUUAUUUUUUAUUAACAAAUUUUAAGAUUACUUUAUUAUUUAUCAACUAGACUAGUGUGUAUUUCAAUCUUUAAAUAAUUUAUACGUAUAUUUAUUGUGUGGAUAAAAAAAAGGUAAAAUAAGAAAUUAUAUAAUUACUUUAUUAAAAUUAAAAAAACAUGUUAUAUUUUUGGUUUUAUAAAGAAAACUAACUGUAGCAUUUAGGUUUUGAAGCUGUCACCCUGGGGUAACUUCUGAAUUGAGUUUGUUACAUGGUAUAGAUGUACGAUAAAAGGCUUAUUUUCUUGGGUUUUAAGGCUAUAUAUAUAUAUAUAUAUAUAUAUAUAUAUAACAACAUACAGGGUUUUAGGAUAUUUAUCUGUUACUGUUUGGAAAGUCUAUCCAGAAGAUGUUCUUGAUGACGUAAAUGCACACACAACAUGAUAGUAAUAUCUGUACAAGUGAUGGAGGGAUUCGUACGAGAGUGAAUGCAUCUUUAUAGUUUAUGUCUCAACGCUACGUUUUGUUAUUGUCCGUAUAAAAUGUAUGAAGAAAAACUGAAAAAGGUCUGCUAAUGUAAUAAUAUGGUCGCAAUAUGAAGCAGUUUAAUGAAGAAUAUAGCAUGAAAUACUUACUGUUUAUGCGUGCAUGUAUGGUACUGAUACAGGAGCUACUAGAGAGUCCUUCCGCUUUCGAAGAAGGUCGACAUCUGAUGCGUUCGAGAAGAAUGGCCAGAACAGACCAAACUCUUCUUCUCCUUUCGAUGUGUGAGAAAUAACACUCGUCCCUCCUCCAUGAUGACUACAAAAAUCAAAACCCAGUUCGUUUUCCCUGCCUUUUUUGGUCGUGAUGUCUCCAUUUUUGUUUACCUUUUGUGCAUAUAUAUAUAUAUACAUAUAUAUAUAUAUACAUAUAUAUAUAUAUAU